UUUUUAAAUUGAGAGUUUGAUCCUGGCUCAGGAUGAACGCUGGUGGCGUGCCUAAUACAUGCAAGUCGUACGCUAGCCGCUGAAUUGAUCCUUCGGGUGAAGUGAGGCA
rnacentral:rRNA from 1 species